rnacentral:ribozyme from 1 species
UGCCCAGCAACUCCUAUCCCUACCGCCUCGUGGUACUGGCCGGGGUACGAGUAACCUUGGGGAAGAUCGGGUAACCAACCUCGGUGGGAACUUUGGUCGUAUGCUGACAGGGAAGA